GCCUCUGUAGCUCAGUUGGUUAGAGCGCUGCAUCGGAGUCGCAGGGACGCAGGUUCGAGUCCUUCCAGGGACC